GACGAACGCUGGCGGCGUGCUUAACACAUGCAAGUCGAACGCUGAAGCUCAGCUUUUGUUGGGUGGAUGAGUGGCGAACGGGUGAGUAACACGUGAGUAACCUGCCCCCUUCUUUGGGAUAACGCCCGGAAACGGGUGCUAAUACUGGAUAUUCACUGGUCUUCGCAUGGGGGUUGGUGGAAAGGGUUUUUCUGGUGGGUGAUGGGCUCGCGGCCUAUCAGCUUGUUGGUGGGGUGAUGGCCUACCAAGGCUUUGACGGGUAGCCGGCCUGAGAGGGUGACCGGUCACAUUGGGACUGAGAUACGGCCCAGACUCCUACGGGAGGCAGCAGUGGGGAAUAUUGCACAAUGGGCGCAAGCCUGAUGCAGCGACGCCGCGUGAGGGAUGGAGGCCUUCGGGUUGUGAACCUCUUUCGCUCAUGGUCAAGCCGCAACAAUGGUUGUGGUGAGGGUAGUGGGUAAAGAAGCGCCGGCUAACUACGUG
rnacentral:rRNA from 1 species